ACCCCAAACCACCCUGAAUGCACCCAUCUCUUUAGAUCUCAGAAGCAAAGCAGGACCACAGUUGAUUUGUUCUUGGAGGGGAGACUGCUAGUGACUAUUGAGUGCUAUAGGCU
rnacentral:rRNA from 1 species